GGGUUGCCGGGCGAGAUGUAACCGGCUGCUGAGCUGGCAGUUCUGUGUCGCUAGGCUUCGGCCCGGCCGCCGCCACACAUAAGCUGCGAUGAGGAGCUUUACGACUUCCCGGUCUUCGGGGCCGGGCGCAGCAAGGGCCAGACUCUGCGCUAGCAGGCGCUGCGCGCCAACCGGCCGGCACCUGUCGCAGAAGGUGCAACCGAUCGCACUGUCGCGCAGAAGCUCCUCAAUGGCCAGCACCAGCUGCAGCCCCGGCCGCCCACUCGCCUCACUUGAGCCUGUGUACGUGCGCCCCACAACGCCUCCCCCAGCCAGGGCCCGUGGAUCCCCGGGAGCGUCCCCGGCUAUCUGGCGCUGCUCAUCCUGGGUAGGGUCGGCCCCUCUGAGGCUGCCCGGCAUGAGGGAGCUGCAACCCUGAGCUUGACCUCUGACGGCCCUUUGUAAUAGCAUUAAGUCUUUGAAACUUUGUAGCGGGGUAGAAGGGGCUAGGAAACAAAGAAAACAUCUUUUUGAAAAUAUAAUCUGUCGGCUGGGCGAGGUGGCCCACGCCUGUAAUCCCAGCACUUUGGGAGGUCGAGGCGGGAUCGCGAGGAGAGGAGUUCAAGACCAGCCUGGCCAGCAUGGUUUCACUGAAACCCCGUCUCUACUAAAAACACAAAAAUUAGUCGGGCGUGGUGGCAGGUGCCUGUAAUCCCAGCUACUCGGGAGGCUGAGGCAGAGAAUUGUUUGAACCCGGGAUGCGGAGGUUGCAGUGAGCGGAGAUCGCGCCACUGCACUCCAGCCUGGGCAACAGACCAAGACUCCGUCUAAACAAACAAAUAUAUGUGUGUAUAUAUAUGCGAUCGAGCCCAGGAGGUUGAGAUUACAGUGAGCUGAGAUUAUAUAAGCGAUCAAGCACUGGAGGUUGAGGUUACAGUGAGCUGAGAUUGCGCCAUUGCACUCCAGCCCGUGUAACAGAGGGAGACUCUGUCUCUAAAAAAUUAUAUAUAAGUGAGAGCUUUUCUUCCAGCACUCAUGCUCAGACUGAAGAAAGUAAUUGUGCCAGGCCCGGUGGCUCACGCCCGUAAUCCCAGCAUUUUGGGAGGCAGAGGCGGUGGCGGAAGCAGGUGGAUCGCUUGAGCUCAGGAAUUCCAGACUAGUUUGGGCAACAUGGUGGAACCCUGUCUCUACAAAAA
ensembl:lncRNA SEPTIN7P9 septin 7 pseudogene 9